rnacentral:rRNA from 1 species
UGGCCUUCCCUUCGGGGACAGCGGUGACAGGUGGUGCAUGGUUGUCGUCAGCUCGUGUCGUGAGAUGUUGGGUUAAGUCCCGCAACGAGCGCAACCCUUGUCCUUAGUUGCCAUCAUUCAGUUGGGCACUCUAAGGAGACUGCCGUACAAAUACGGAGGAAGGUGGGGAUGACGUCAAAUCAUCAUGCCCCUUAUGACCUGGGCUACACACGUGCUACAAUGGGUGGUACAAAGGGCGGCGAACCCGCGAGGGGGAGCGAAUCCCAAAAAGCCACUCUCAGUUCGGAUUGCAGGCUGCAACUCGCCUGCAUGAAGCCGGAAUCGCUAGUAAUCGCGGAUCAGCAUGCCGCGGUGAAUACGUUCCCGGGCCUUGUACACACCG